rnacentral:rRNA from 1 species
UACGGGGGGGGGCAAGCGUUGUUCGGAAUUACUGGGCGUAAAGGGCUCGUAGGCGGCCAACUAAGUCAGACGUGAAAUCCCCAGGCUCAACCUGGGAACUGCGUCUGAUACUGGAUGGCUUGAAUUCGGGAGAGGGAUGCAGAAUUCCAGGUGUAGCGGUGAAAUGCGUAGAUAUCUGGAGGAAUACCGGUGGCGAAGGCGGCGAUCCUGGAC